rnacentral:rRNA from 1 species
UACGUAGGGGGCUAGCGUUGUCCGGAAUUAUUGGGCGUAAAGAGCUUGUAGGCGGUUUGUCGCGUCUGCUGUGAAAUUUCGGGGCUCAACCCCGAACUUGCAGUGGGUACGGGCAGACUAGAGUGUGGUAGGGGAGACUGGAAUUACUGGUGUAGCGGUGAAAUGCGCAGAUAUCAGGAGGAACACCGAUGGCGAAGGCAGGUCUCUGGGCCAUAACUGACGCUGAGAAGCGAAAGCAUGGGGAGCGAACAGG